UACGGAGGGUGCAAGCGUUAUCCGGAUUCACUGGGUUUAAAGGGUCCGUAGGCGGCCCAGUAAGUCAGUGGUGAAAUCUCCCGGCUCAACCGGGAAAUUGCCAUUGAUACUGCUGGUCUUGAAUUACCAGGAAGUAACUAGAAUAUGUAGUGUAGCGGUGAAAUGCUUAGAGAUUACAUGGAAUACCAAUUGCGAAGGCAGGUUACUACUGGUGGAUUGACGCUGAUGGACGAAAGCGUGGGUAGCGAACAGG
rnacentral:rRNA from 1 species